AAAAAAUAGAGACCAGACUCUUGUGGGCGAGGAUCGGAUCUUCUCCAACAAAGGAGCAUGAAGGUCUCUCCUAUACUUCAGAAAAGUUAGUUGACAUAGAGGAAUAUGUCCCAGUUUGGAACAAUGAUUUGAGUCCUGUUUUUGUGGUGGGCACAAUGGUGAAUGGGAAAGUAAAGGGGGACUAUAUGGAUGAUCAUAUUUCAG